UACGUAGGGUGCAAGCGUUGUCCGGAAUUAUUGGGCGUAAAGAGCUCGUAGGCGGUUUGUCGCGUCUGCUGUGAAAACUCGGGGCUUAACCCUGGGCCUGCAGUGGGUACGGGCAGACUAGAGUGCGGUAGGGGAGACUGGAAUUCCUGGUGUAGCGGUGAAAUGCGCAGAUAUCAGGAGGAACACCGGUGGCGAAGGCGGUUCUCUGGGCAUUACCUGACGCUGAGGAGCGAAAGUGUGGGGAGCGAACAGG
rnacentral:rRNA from 1 species